rnacentral:lncRNA from 12 species
AUAAAUAUUUGCUGAAUGAAUGAACGAAAAGUACUACUGGCAAUAUGUAUCAACUCUCAGGAGAUACACCCUCCUCCCCUGCCAUGUUGAAUCCAAAUCUCACUACACUGCGAGGAUGUGCUAAUAGGAAACGGAUAGUUUCCUUUGGAAUAGAAAGUCAAAGAUAUUUCUUUUGGUCUCCCACGAACCUGAGAACAUCUAAGAGGACCUAA